UGGGGAAUUUUGGACAAUGGGCGAAAGCCUGAUCCAGCAAUGCCGCGUGUGUGAAGAAGGCCUUCGGGUUGUAAAGCACUUUUGUCCGGAAAGAAAUCCUUGGCUCUAAUACAGUCGGGGGAUGACGGUACCGGAAGAAUAAGCACCGGCUAACUACGUGCCAGCAGCCGCGGUAAUACGUAGGGUGCAAGCGUUAAUCGGAAUUACUGGGCGUAAAGCGUGCGCAGGCGGUUUGCUAAGACCGAUGUGAAAUCCCCGGGCUCAACCUGGGAACUGCAUUGGUGACUGGCAGGCUAGAGUAUGGCAGAGGGGGGUAGAAUUCCACGUGUAGCAGUGAAAUGCGUAGAGAUGUGGAGGAAUACCGAUGGCGAAGGCAGCCCCCUGGGCCAAUACUGACGCUCAUGCACGAAAGCGUGGGGAGCAAACAGGAUUAGAUACCCUGGUAGUCCACGCCCUAAACGAUGUCAACUAGUUGUUGGGGAUUCAUUUUCCUUAGUAACGUAGCUAACGCGUGAAGUUGACCGCCUGGGGAGUACGGUCGCAAGAUUAAAACUCAAAUGAAUUGACGGGGUCAUAGCUGUUU
rnacentral:rRNA from 1 species